AUGGUUAAAAUUGAUCAGAAGAAUUCUGAGAUCGAGAGUCUGAAACUGGAGAUCAACAGUCUGAGGAUGCAGCUGGCCCAAGCAGCAAAGGAGCAGCAGGAAAAGCUGGAGCUGCACUACGAGAAGGAAAAACUGAAGCUGGAGAAGUCAGCGAUGAAGGUGGAGGCCGAGAACCUGAGGCUGAAGGCGGAGAACCUCCGUCUGCAGCACAAGAAGCUUGAAGAGCAGACAAAGAGCGGGAGGCUGCAGCAGGAGUUGCAAAAUGAAAAGGAGGAACGCCAGCAGCAAGUCAUGAUGUUCCAGGCAGUGAUCCUGAAUCUGGAGGAGGAGAAAGUGGAGUUCCAAAAUGGAAAGGAGGAACUCCAAGAGGAAACCACGAUUCUCCGGGCAAUGGUCCUGAGGCUGCAGGAGGAGAAAGUGGAAUUGCAAAAUGGAAAGGAGGAACUCCAGCAGCAAACCACGAUGCUCCAGGAAGAGAUCCUGAGGCUGCAGCAGGAAAAAGUGGAAUUUCAAAAUGGAAAGGAGGAACUCCAGCAGCAAAACACGAUGCUCCAGGCAGAGAUCCUAAAGCUGCAGCACGGGAAAGUGGAGUUCCAAAAUGGAAAGGACGAACUCCAGCAGCAAAACACGAUGCUCCAGGCAGAGAUCCUAAAGCUGCAGCACGAGAAAGUGGAGUUCCAAAAUGGAAAAGACGAAAUCCAGCAGCAAAACACGAUGCUCCAGGCACAGAUCCUGAGGCUGCAGGAGGAAAAAGUGGAAUUUCAAAACAUAAAGGAAGAACUCUGGCAGGAAACUACGAUGUUCCAGGCAGAGAUCCUAAAACAGCAGCAGGAAAAAGUGGAAUCUCAAAAUGUAAAGGAAGAAUUCCGGCAGGAAACUACAAUGCUCCAGGCACAGAUCCUGAAGCUGCAACAGGAGAACCUCACGCUGGAGUCAGAGAACAGCACCCUGAAGGAUGUGAAUGAGGUGAACAGUGACACUCAAUCGGUCCCUACAGAUGUUCUAAUAAUGGUCCAGAUGUUCACCUGGUCUUUAUAGAGAUAUUCUUAAACCUUCUGCUCAAAAUGAGCCUGAUUGAAACAGAUCCUAGUUUGUGAUCUCUUAAGC
rnacentral:lncRNA from 1 species